UACCCUAGCAGACUGAGUGACAAGCUUUGCCUCAGCAGAAGGCAACAACAACACCCAUACCAGACAGAAACUUAUAAUAGAGAACCAGGAGUUGUUACCCAGGUAUGUUGUGUUUUAAUCGAUACCUAGAAACGAACAAAUCCGGUGCCAUUUUUUUUUCUCUGGUUCCAAACUUGUGAUUUUACGCUAGUUGAGCGUCUUUGCUCGAGUUUACAUGAACGUACUAAAAAAAAUCACGUGUGAGAGUUAAAUAGGUUCGAGGGCUUGACUAAUGCAUUUUUAGUGGCUUUAGAACUUGUUCUUUAAAUGGGAGGAUUCAAAUCUUGCUGGUUGAGCAGCACAUAUCCUUUUAUUCGUGAGGAUAUGUUAGCUUGAGAUAUUUAACCAGCUAGAUCGAUGCAUGCUAUCGAAUAUAUCGAGUUGGAUCUCUCAUGGGAUCUUACUUUUCGCCAUUCGGUACAUUGUUUCAUUCUUUCCAAUUUUUUUUUUCUGUUUUAUGAUGACUAAUGUUCUGUUCUGUUGAUAUUUAUUAUUGAAAGGUAACUUAGCGCAGUUUGGUUUUAUAAAAAAAAUACUGGUAAUGUACUGUGAAGAUUUUAAUUUUGAGGUUUUUCUACAUCUCUUAAGGCCAGUUAUACCAUACCCUUACCGAGCCCUUUUGUUUAUCAUCUCUGUCAAGGUUUGGGUUUUUUUAAUUUUUCUUCUAUUUUUCGAUUUUUAUUAUGAAAUUUUUGUUCAUUUGGGAAAUGGAAUGUCCGAAGAGAUACAAUUUAUAAGAGAAGGUUUUGAUAAUACUUAUUAUUAGUUUUGUGGACUUAAUCUCUCUUUCUUUCUCUCUCAUCUUUUUAAGGUUUUUAAUUAUCUGAUACAUAGUUUCUAUCUCCAGACUUUAGUCAGGUAUUCUCCUCAAAAAUAUUAUGGUUGAUACAGUUACAAGUCUGGAAAACUAAUGUGCCCAUCGUUACAGAUGUGAUAGUCUUCUCGUGCUUACAUCUGCUCCAUUGGGGCUCUACACAUUUGUGGCUGAAUUUUACGUAGUUCUUUGUUACACUAUAUAUUAUAUAUUAUACAAAGACAAAAGAAAUUGUUUUUUUGGGUAUUUUUAGUUUUCGUUUUCUUUACAAACUAAAAUCUUUUUAAAAUUUUUGAAAUCCUAUAUCCUCAGUUUAUAUGUUGACAUAUUUCCCUAUAUAAGUCAUACUUUACUCAUUCGCAUUAUUGUGUCCAGACAUUAGUAAGGUGUCCUGAUCAACAAACUAUGGUUGAUACAGUUACAGGUCUGCGAUGACCUUUUUGUCAUGUUUACAUCUGCUUGGGGCUCUACAGGUACAUGAUCCGUAUACCUCCUCACUUUUAUUGUUAUACAAUCAUAAUUUGAUUGCAUGUUAUGAUUCUUUUAAUCUACAAUUUCUAUAUAGCAGAAUGUUUUAGCUUGCUUGGAUGGGGGUUUUCAAAAUUUAUAAAAAUUCAAAAUUUGAGGGAAAUAAUACUAAUUCAAUUCUUGUUUUUGUUAAGUUGUAUUUUUUUUUUGAAUAAUUUUAGUGCAGCUAUAAUUUCAGUUUAAAAACAAAAUGGAAAAUAGGUAGGCCCUCUAAGAACUCUCAUUCUACAAUUGACAGUCAUGUCAGCAAGCUCCAAUGGUGGAAACCUAUCAGAACAACUUCUUUCCAAGAACCCCUGCUGUAACCCCCAUUGGCUUAAUAUGGGAGAGAUGAGCUUCUGGACUAUCAAUUUUCUUAGAGGCAUGGCUCUGGUGUAUUAUUUUCAAUCCUGGGCUUAUGACAUUUUUAUCAACAAUAUUCUCUUAAUACAAUUAUCCAUUUCAUGCUUCUUCUUUUUGGGUAAUUUUGAGCCUUGAAUUGCAUACCAGAUUUUUGUACCAAUUAUUUUCAUAUUUGACCCACUUUCUGUUUGUUCUGGAAUAAUGGUCAGAAGGGAGACAGUGAUGUUGUUUUCAUCUUUUAGUUCAGAAAAUAGACAUUAGUAAGAGCCUUAGUCCUGGCAAGGUAAUUCAGUGAUGUUGUCAAAAUAUCAUUAUCCUUUAUACGAUGUUGUCAAAGUAUCAUUAUCCUUUAUACAAAUGCUGAUGAUGCAGCCAUGGUGAGGCUCUUCUCUUCUGUCUCUUGCCUGUGUAAAGAUGAAUCUGAGUCUCUUUUCUGAAACCCUGCUAUUAGGGUUAUACUCAUGAGUCAUUAGUUUAAGUAUGAGGCUCCACUCUUUGAGAGAAGGUUGUCUUGAUAGCUGUUGCCCUCUUGAAGUUGGUUAGCCAAUGAUCAUUAUAAUUGAAUUUCCAAACAGCUCUCCACAUACAUACACGCACACAAACAUGUAUUUCUUUCUGCUUCUAUUGGGAAAACAACAGCAACUACUUCUUCUUCUUCUUCUUCUUGCUAUUACGAGGCAAUGAUGAUGUUUUCUGCAAUUAAAUCAGAUAUGAGUGAAGAGCUGUGUCCUGGCUAGGUGACUCGGUGUCUGUGUGAAAUUGACCUUCUGGUUGCACAGAUGCUAUUGACGCAGCCUGUGCACAAGCCAUUCCUUUGCUGUCUGAAAAAAG
rnacentral:lncRNA from 1 species